UGUCCAUUUGGACCAAACACUUUGUUUUGUUUUAUUUAGAUUUUGUUUUUCAUCUUACUAUGUACCAGUGGCACUUAACCAAAAGAUACAGUAACAUAGCCAUGUACUGUGGUUGGGACAGAUACAGUCUCCUUGGCUUAUAGGACUUCCUAGCUACACUUUCCUUAGCGCAUUAAUGUGAUGCUCACUCUGUGUUAAAACUGCAGCCGUUGUCUUUCUCAACUGCUACUGUCACGUUGCUUUCAAGAAAACAUUUUUUUUCAUUCCAGACUAACCAGAACCUGCAUUUAGAAUAGGAGUCCUUUCUCCGACCUUUUCUUCAGUUCCACAGCGAAGCCUCUGUGCUCCUUUUAUACUUGCCAUGGAUGUAACCUAAAAAGUUUUGGCAUAUUUAGGUCAGCCUAGCACAUUUUUUUUUUUUUCAUUUUAAUGGAGCUGAAGAAUGGAGAUUUUUUUUUUGUGUGUGUGUGUCUGAGAAAUUCCUAAGAUCAAUGAAAGAGUGAUAAACUAUUUGUCUCUGAUACAUAAAAUUAUUUUAAGCAUUUUCUCAAUCAUUAAAUGUUACUGCCAGUCAUAAGUGGCUUUUUAAUUACCAGUUUUCAUUGCACUUCACUCUGUUUUCAGGGGGAUUGGGGACAUUCGGGGAGACUGUAUCUGUCUACUUUGUGUGACUGUUUUGAGGGACUGUCCCAUCAGUGAACAGAUUGCAUGGCCUUGGAGAGAGACUCUGGGCUUCUGGCUCAGAUGUGUGCAUCCUUUUAGAGCUGUUGUGGGUGUAAGUGACAUGAUGUGGCCAAAAAUCCAAACUGUGCAGUUGCGUUGUGACAAACAUGCAAUGUGCUGUAAAAACUCAAUACAGUUCAAAUAAAAUCUCUAUAUU
rnacentral:lncRNA from 1 species